CCUACGGGAGGCAGCAGUAGGGAAUCUUCCACAAUGGGCGAAAGCCUGAUGGAGCAACGCCGCGUGGGUGAAGAAGGUCUUCGGAUCGUAAAACCCUGUUGUUAGAGAAGAAAGUGCGUGAGAGUAACUGUUCACGUUUCGACGGUAUCUAACCAGAAAGCCACGGCUAACUACGUGCCAGCAGCUGCGGGAAUACGUGGGUGGCAAGCGUUAGCCGGAUUUAUUGGGCGUAAAGGGAACGAAGGCGGUCGUUUAAGUCUGAUGUGAAAGCCUUGGGCUUAACCGGAGUAGUGCAUUGGAUACUGGGGGACGUGAGUGCAGAAGAGGAGGGUGGAACUCCAUGUGUAGCGGUGAAAUGCGUAGAUAUAUGGAAGAACACCAGGGGCGAAGGCGGCUCUCUGGUCUGUAACUGACGCUGAGGUUCGAAAGCGUGGGUAGCAAACAGGAUUAGAUACCCGUGUAGUC
rnacentral:rRNA from 1 species